rnacentral:rRNA from 1 species
UCGAGGAUCUUCGUCAAUGGGCGCAAGCCUGAACGAGCGAUGCCACAUGAGCGAUGAAGGCCUUCGGGUUGUAAAGCUCAAAAGAAGCGAGAAAGGGAAACUUGAUCAAGCUUCAGUAAGCUCGGGCUAAGUUCGUGCCAGCAGCCGCGGUAAGACGAACCGAGCGAACGUUGUUCGGAAUCACUGGGCUUAAAGGGCGCGUAGGCGGGUGCUCAAGUCCGGGGUGAAAUCCCACAGCUCAACUGUGGAACUGCCUCGGAUACUGGGCGUCUCGAGGGUGGCAGGGGUAUGCGGAACUAUCGGUGGAGCGGUGAAAUGCGUUGAUAUCGAUAGGAACUCCGGUGGCGAAGGCGGCAUACUGGUCCACUUCUGACGCUGAGGCGCGAAAGCCAGGGGAGCGAACGG